rnacentral:rRNA from 1 species
AACGAACGCUGGCGGCAGGCUUAACACAUGCAAGUCGAGCGCCCCGCAAGGGGAGCGGCAGACGGGUGAGUAACGCGUGGGAAUCUAACCAUCUCUACGGAAUAACGCAUGGAAACGUGUGCUAAUACCGUAUACGCCCUUCGGGAGAAAGAUUUAUCGGAGAUGGAUGAGCCCGCGUUGGAUUAGCUAGUUGGCGGGGUAAAGGCCUACCAAGGUGAUGAUCCAUAGCUGGUCUGAGUGGAUGAUCAGCCACACUGGGACUGAGACACGGCCCAGACUCCUAAGGGGGGCGGCAGUGGGGAAUAUUGGACAAUAGGCGCAAGCUUGAUACAGCCAUGCCGCGUGGGUGAUGAAGGGCCUAUGGUUGUAAAGCUCCUUCACCGGUAAAGAUAAUGACGGGAAACGGAGAAGAAGCCCCGGCUAACUUCGUGCCAGCCGCCGCCGUAAGAC